CCGAGUGUUUCACUCCAAACCCACUGUGAACCUUACCACUGUCGUUGCUUCGGCGGGCGAAACCCCCCCCGGGGGCCAGCCCGCCGGCGGCACCCAAACUCUUAUAUCUUACCUAGCGUCUCUUCUGAGUACAAAAGACAAACAAUCA
rnacentral:misc_RNA from 1 species